ACUCCUACGGGAGGCAGCAGUGGGGAAUAUUGCACAAUGGGCGCAAGCCUGAUGCAGCCAUGCCGCGUGUAUGAAGAAGGCCUUCGGGUUGUAAAGUACUUUCAGCGAGGAGGAAGGUGUUGUGGUUAAUAACCGCAGCAAUUGACGUUACUCGCAGAAGAAGCACCGGCUAACUCCGUGCCAGCAGCCGCGGUAAUAC
rnacentral:rRNA from 1 species